UUCAUUUUCUCUGAUUUUUCCGUUGUUAGGAAGCACCUUUCUUUUCUCCGCCAUGGCCAAAACUUCCAACUCCAUCGAUACGAUGCCAGUGAGCUCUGAUGCAUUGAAGAUCGCCACCUCCCAACGGAGUCAACGAACAGAGGAAGAAGCUCGUCUUCCUGAAACAACGGCAACGGAGGCCGGCCGUGGAAACUGGUGACGUAGCUUGAGGUGAACGAUUCUCUCCUGAGGUUCUGGGCUUCGUGCAGCUUGCUGUAGAUCAGGAUGAGUAUGUAUUAAUAACCAGGUGCAUUUCAGCUGUGUGAUUGUUGAGAAAGGGCACAUUAUUGCAGCAGGAAGAAAUAGGACUAAUGAGAAACGGAAUGCAACAAGACGUGCAAAAAUGGAAGCUCUUGAUGUUCUUCUUGAACAGUGGCAGAGGACUGAAUUUUUAUCUGCAGAAGUUGCAGAGGAGUAUUCAGCAUGCUCCCUUUAUGUGACAUGUGAACUAUGCAUAAUGUGUGCAGCAGCAUUAUCAAUCAUUGGUACAUCUGUUGAUCAUACUGAAAUAAAACUAAUAAAUGAUUAGAUGACUCUUAGCCGUUUUAAGGUAUGAAGAAAGUAUGUUAUGACUGUGCAAAUGAAAUGUGGAGGCUGUGGCUCAGUGCUGUCGUUGCAUCAAUUAGCUCCGAGGAAUGAAUUAGGUCAGUUUCUGGACUUGCUUCUGUUGCUGAUUUCAUAUCUGCUUAGCUCCACUUUGAAAUUUUGACAUUUUACAAUUGACAACCAAAGCUUACUGGAGGUUUAUGAAUCUUGUUUUGAUUACUGAUUGACGUGCAUUUGUAGGGUAAAACAGAGUUCUCUCAUUAAUUUACAUGUAAAUAUGGAGAAC